rnacentral:lncRNA from 1 species
AUUCAUUUAUUUAAUUUUUUAAAAUAUAAAAUUAAAUUUUUUAAUUUAUUUGAUUUGAAUUAGUCAAAGAUAUUUAAAUUUUAAAAUUUAAGUUAAUUACUUAUUUUAAUAAUAUUUAUAGUUUUGAAAAUUAUAUGAUGUUUAUAUAAUUAAAUAAAUUAAAAGAUUGAAUAGUAAAAUCAUUAUUUUUGAGAGAUUG